GGGUUGUGAGGUUAAGCGACUAAGCGUACACGGUGGAUGCCCUGGCAGUCAGAGGCGAUGAAGGGCGUGCUAAUCUGCGAUAAGCGCCGGUAAGGUGAUAUGAACCGUUAUAACCGGCGAUACCCGAAUGGGGAAACCCAGUGUGACUCGUCACACUAUCAUUAACUGAAUCCAUAGGUUAAUGAGGCGAACCGGGGGAACUGAAACAUCUAAGUACCCCGAGGAAAAGAAAUCAACCGAGAUUCCCCCAGUAGCGGCGAGCGAACGGGGAGGAGCCCAGAGCCUGAAUCAGCAUGUGUGUUAGUGGAAGCGUCUGGAAAGACGCGCGAUACAGGGUGACAGCCCCGUACACAAAAGCGCAUGUGUUGUGAGCUCGAUGAGUAGGGCGGGACACGUGGUAUCCUGUCUGAAUAUGGGGGGACCAUCCUCCAAGGCUAAAUACUCCUGACUGACCGAUAGUGAACCAGUACCGUGAGGGAAAGGCGAAAAGAACCCCGGCGAGGGGAGUGAAAAAGAACCUGAAACCGUGUACGUACAAGCAGUGGGAGCCCCACCACUAAGCCAGUGGUGAACUCCACAUACGCAUCCUUUGCUGAAGGCAAUGGUUAACGGAGCGAAAGCGACGUUCAACCGCAAAACAAGCAGAGGGGGCUUAGUGGUGGGGUGACUGCGUACCUUUUGUAUAAUGGGUCAGCGACUUAUAUUCUGUAGCAAGGUUAACCGUAUAGGGGAGCCGGAGGGAAACCGAGUCUUAAUUGGGCGUUAAGUUGCAGGGUAUAGACCCGAAACCCGGUGAUCUAGCCAUGGGCAGGUUGAAGGUUGGGUAACACUAACUGGAGGACCGAACCGACUAAUGUUGAAAAAUUAGCGGAUGACCUGUGGCUGGGGGUGAAAGGCCAAUCAAACCGGGAGAUAGCUGGUUCUCCCCGAAAGCUAUUUAGGUAGCGCCUCGUGAACUCAUCUCCGGGGGUAGAGCACUGUUUCGGCUAGGGGGCCAUCCCGGCUUACCAACCCGAUGCAAACUGCGAAUACCGGAGAAUGUUAUCACGGGAGACACACGGCGGGUGCUAACGUCCGUCGUGAAGAGGGAAACAACCCAGACCGCCAGCUAAGGUCCCAAAGUCAUGGUUAAGUGGGAAACGAUGUGGGAAGGCCCAGACAGCCAGGAUGUUGGCUUAGAAGCAGCCAUCAUUUAAAGAAAGCGUAAUAGCUCACUGGUCGAGUCGGCCUGCGCGGAAGAUGUAACGGGGCUAAACCAUGCACCGAAGCUGCGGCAGCGACACUCAGGUGUUGUUGGGUAGGGGAGCGUUCUGUAAGCCUGUGAAGGUGUGUCGUGAGGCAUGCUGGAGGUAUCAGAAGUGCGAAUGCUGACAUAAGUAACGAUAAAGCGGGUGAAAAGCCCGCUCGCCGGAAGACCAAGGGUUCCUGUCCAACGUUAAUCGGGGCAGGGUGAGUCGACCCCUAAGGCGAGGCCGAAAGGCGUAGUCGAUGGGAAACGGGUUAAUAUUCCCGUACUUGGUGUUACUGCGAAGGGGGGACGGAGAAGGCUAUGUUGGCCGGGCGACGGUUGUCCCGGUUUAAGCGUGUAGGUGUGUGUUCCAGGUAAAUCCGGUUCACUUUAACACUGAGGCGUGAUGA
rnacentral:rRNA from 1 species